UAACACGUGGGUGAUCUGCCCUGCACUUUGGGAUAAGCCUGGGAAACUGGGUCUAAUACCAGAUAGGACCACUUCUUGGAUGUUGUGGUGGAAAGUUUUUUCGGUGUGGGAUGAGCUCGCGGCCUAUCAGCUUGUUGGUGGGGUAAUGGCCUACCAAGGCGUCGACGGGUAGCCGGCCUGAGAGGGUGUACGGCCACAUUGGGACUGAGAUACGGCCCAGACUCCUACGGGAGGCAGCAGUGGGGAAUAUUGCACAAUGGGCGCAAGCCUGAUGCAGCGACGCCGCGUGGGGGAUGACGGCCUUCGGGUUGUAAACUCCUUUCGCUAGGGACGAAGCGUUUUUGUGACGGUACCUGGAGAAGAAGCACCGGCUAACUACGUGCCAGCAGCCGCGGUAAUACGUAGGGUGCAGCGUUGUCCGGAAUUACUGGGCGUAAAGAGCUCGUAGGUGGUUUGUCGCGUCGUUUGUGUAAGCCCGCAGCUUAACUGCGGGACUGCAGGCGAUACGGGCAUAACUUGAGUGCUGUAGGGGAGACUGGAAUUCCUGGUGUAGCGGUGGAAUGCGCAGAUAUCAGGAGGAACCCCGAUGGCGAAGCCAGUUCUCUGGCCAGUAACUGACGCUGAGGAGCGAAAGCAUGGGGAGCGAACAGGAUUAGAUACCCUGGUAGUCCAUGCCGUAAACGGUGGGCGCUAGGUGUGAGUCCCUUCCACGGGGUUCGUGCCGUAGCUAACGCAUUAAGCGCCCCGCCUGGGGAGUACGGCCCCAAGGCUAAAACUCAAAGGAAUUGACGGGGGCCCGCACAAGCGGCGGACCAUGUGGAUUAAUUCGAUGCAACGCGAAGAACCUUACCUGGGCUUGACAUACACCAGAUCGGGCUAGAGAUACGGUUUCCCUUUGUGGUUGGUGUCCAGGUGGUGCAUGGUUGUCGUCAGCUCGUGUCGUGAGAUGUUGGGUUAAGUCCCGCAACGAGCCCAACCCUUGUCUUAUGUUGCCACCACGUGAUGGUGGGGACUCAUGAGAGACUGCCGGGGUUAACUCGGAGGAAGGUGGGGAUGACGUCAAAUCAUCAUGCCCCUUAUGUCCAGGGCUUCACACAUGCUACAAUGGUCGGUACAACGC
rnacentral:rRNA from 1 species